AAGUCGUAACAAGGUUUCCGUAGGUGAACCUGCGGAAGGAUCAUUAACACGUAUCCACGUAUCAACCAACCGCGAACUCGUUUUCAAGUCUCCCUUCGGGGCACAUGAAUUGGACCUUGACAGAGUAAAUGAGUAGGGUCUCACGACCAGCUCUGUUUAGCCACUGAGGUGAUUCGUCACUUCGACAAUUGUAGUGCUCUGGAGGCAAUCUUCUGCUACCUCCUUCUCUACUCAUGAUUAAGGUAGUGGAUAAUUAUUAACCUAUUUCACCCCCUUUUUGCUAGUUGACUUUAUUAUGUUGUGAUCAAUAAGAUUAAUUUCUUAGUGGUCUCACACGUUUAAUUAUUUAAACGAUAGAACAACUCUUAGCAAUGGAUAUCUUGGUUCUC
rnacentral:misc_RNA from 1 species